CAGUCAAGAAGAAUCUCUAAACAAACUCUAAUCCAUCUGCAUGUGGGAGGUGCAGUCAAUACGUCACCGAAUGUGUCCCAACAAUCUAGUUGCAUCUUAAAGAGCUUUGGAUAGAGAGCAAGACAGCUUAAAUCUAGCUCUGGCUCAGCUAGCUUGCGUUUACCUCUGCAGUCUCCUUCUUUCUUGAUCCUAAUCUCUUCCAAGUUAGGAAAGUCAUCUAUUCCUGUCAUUGGCAAAGAUAAAGAUGGUUCCGACUUUUGUAAGACCUGCUAUAGCUCUGGUGACUCGCGGAUUUUGUAGAUCCGUCCACACUAUUUCUACAUCCAGAAUGGUAACUUCCAAAUCUGCUUUCUGGACUUCAAUGUCUGGUACAUAUCUUGGAUACGGUUAUUGGGCGUGGUACAAGAUGUUUGAGCAAGCUUCUCCAGAAGAUGAUGCAUAAUCAAAUUAUGCAUAUUUUGUUAUUUACUAAAAAAAAACUAUACUAUUGUUUCUUUUGUUGUAUUAAUCUCUUCUAUUAUGAAUGUAUGGACUAAAGAAGUUAACAUUAUAAUUAACAUUGUUUCUAAAGA